GACGAACGCUGGCGGCGUGCUUAACACAUGCCAGUCGAACGGAAAGGCCCUGCUUUUGUGGGGUGCUCGAGUGGCGAACGGGUGAGUAACACGUGAGUAACCUGCCCUUGACUUUGGGAUAACUUCAGGAAGCUGGGGCUAAUACCGGAUAGGAGCUCCUGCUGCAUGGUGGGGGUUGGAAAGUUUCGGCGGUUGGGGAUAGACUCGCGGCUUAUCAGCUUGUUGGUGGGGUAGUGGCUUACCAAGGCUUUGACGGGUAGCCGGCCUGAGAGGGUGACCGGCCACAUUGGGACUGAGAUACGGCCCAGACUCCUACGGGAGGCAGCAGUGGGGAAUAUUGCACAAUGGGCGGAAGCCUGAUGCAGCAACGCCGCGUGCGGGAUGACGGCCUUCGGGUUGUAAACCGCUUUCGCCUGUGACGAAGCGUGAGUGACGGUAAUGGGUAAAGAAGCACCGGCUAACUACGUG
rnacentral:rRNA from 1 species